rnacentral:rRNA from 1 species
CCUACGGGCGGCUGCAGUGAGGAAUAUUGGUCAAUGGGCGCGAGCCUGAACCAGCCAAGUAGCGUGAAGGAUGACUGCCCUACGGGUUGUAAACUUCUUUUAUAAAGGAAUAAAGUGAGGCACGUGUGCCUUUUUGUAUGUACUUUAUGAAUAAGGAUCGGCUAACUCCGUGCCAGCAGCCGCGGUAAUACGGAGGAUCCGAGCGUUAUCCGGAUUUAUUGGGUUUAAAGGGAGCGUAGAUGGGUUGUUAAGUCAGUUGUGAAAGUUUGCGGCUCAACCGUAAAAUUGCAAUUGAUACUGGCAGCCUUGAGUACAGUUGGGGUAGGCGGAAUUCGUGGUGUAGCGGUGAAAUGUUUAGAUAUAACGAAGACCUCCGAUUGCGAAGGAAGCUUACUAAACUGCAACUGAAAUUGAUGCUCGAAAGUGUGGGUAUAAACAAGGAUUAGAUACCUAGUAGUC